AUACGUAGGGGGCGAGCGUUGUCCGGAAUGAUUGGGCGUAAAGGGCGCGUAGGCGGCCCGGUAAGUCUGGAGUGAAAGUCCUGUUUUUAAGAUGGGGAUUGCUUUGGAUACUGUCGGGCUUGAGUGCAGGAGAGGUAAGUGGAAUUCCCAGUGUAGCGGUGAAAUGCGUAGAGAUUGGGAGGAACACCAGUGGCGGAGGCGACUUACUGGACUGUAACUGACGCUGAGGCGCGAAAGUGUGGGGAGCAAACAGGAUUAGAUUCCCUGGUAGUCCACACUGUAAACGAUGAAUGCUAGGUGUAGGGGGUAUCGACCCCUUCUGUGCCGCAGUCAACACAAUAAGCAUUCCGCCUGGGGAGUACGGCCGCAAGGUUGAAACUCAAAGGAAUUGACGGGG
rnacentral:rRNA from 1 species